rnacentral:rRNA from 1 species
UAGAUACCCUGGUAGUCUACACUGUAAAUUCUGAGUGCUGUAAUUUAAUUGAUUUUAGAUUUUUUAAGCUAACGCAAUAAGCACUCCGCCUGAGGAGUACGGCCGCAAGGUUGGAACUCAAAGGAAUUGACGGGGGCCUACAACGAGUGGUGGAGCAUGUGGUUUAAUGCGAUAAUCCGCGCAAAACCUUACCAGCCUUUGUAAAUAUAAUAAUUCGUACUGCUAAAUAAAAAAUUACACGCAGAAUGAAAUAUAAUACAGGUGUUGCACGACUGUCGUCAGCUCGUGUCGUAAGAUGUUUGGUUCAUUCCUUUAACGAGCGCAACUCUUAUUUUUAAGUAAUUUCAUACUUUUACGAGGAAUUUACCGUUAAUUCUUCAAUUAAGCUAUAAAUAAUACUCAGUCAAUGAUAAGUUGAAGGAAGGUAAGAAUUAAGUCAAGUCACUGUGGCCCUUAUAGGCUGGGCUACACACGUGCUACAAUAAAAAUUACAGAAACAUACCAAAAUCAUAACAGAUUUUUGUUAGUUAAAGAUUUUUUUUACGGAUUGUAAGCUGCAACUCGUUUACAUGAAGUUGGAAUCACUAGUAAUCGCAAAUCAGAAUGUUGCGGUGAAUACGUACCUUGGCCUUGUACACACCGCCCGUCACAUGCAGAGAACCAGUUUCACUUGAAAACUUAACGAUUAUUAGAAAAUAUAAUUUUCUUUGCAUACGUUAGGUUCAUUGCGAAAUUGAUGAUUUGGAUGAAGUCGUAACAAGGUAGCCGUA